GAUGAACGCUAGCGGCAGGCCUAAUACAUGCAAGUCGAACGGGAUCAGGGAGCUUGCUCCCUGUGAGAGUGGCGCACGGGUGCGUAACACGUAUGCAACCUACCUUCAACUGGGGGAUAGCCUUCCGAAAGGAAGAUUAAUACCGCAUAACAUAAUUGAAUGGCAUCAUUUGAUUAUCAAACGUCAGGGUUGAAGAUGGGCAUGCGUCCGAUUAGCUAGUUGGUGUGGGAACGGCAGACCAAGGCGAAGAUCGGUAGGGGAUCUGAGAGGAUGACCCCCCACACUGGUACUGGGGCCCGGACCAGACUCCGACGGGAGGCAGCAGUAAGAAAUAUUGGUCAAUGGACGCAAGGCUGAACCAGCCAUGCCGCGUGCAGGAAGACGGUCCUCUGGAUUGUAAACUGCUUUUGUUAGGGAAGAAACCCACGGAUGCGUCCGGGGCUGACGGUACCUAAAGAAUAGGGAUCGGCUAACUCCGUGCCAGCAGCCGCCGUAACAC
rnacentral:rRNA from 1 species